UUUAUUUGUGAAAUGGAUUUAAUUCUGUUCCUGUAAAGGCUUUAGAAAGUCUGUCAGGGGCACACAAUGCCUAAGAAUGAUGUUAAAAUUUUAAAAGUGAUUUAUGUGACCCUGAGGCCAAAUGGCACAGCCUGCAAAUGUGAUAAAUCUAGCAAAUAAAUAAACAAAUAAAUAAAUAAACAUAAAUGCCUUUGAGGAGGCCACUGGCCAAUAGGCAGCUCUGUAGUUGGCGUUUAGUUUUACAAGAGCACUUGUUAAUCCCACAUGCUCAGGACAGUUAUAAGGGUUUCAUUUCCUCCCUAGACCUUAAUGCCUCCCGGGUGUGUGGAAUAGAACACUUUAUUUGAGCCUGGAAUCGUGAAUGUACUCGCUAUAAGAAGAUAACUUCAUGAUAUUGAUAUCACCAGUAGGGGUUUAUUUACCUUGAAGUUAGGAACCAUGACCUACACAGCUCUUUGCACAGAGCUUUUUACACAGUGUGUAUUCUACAAACAUGUAUUAAAUGAAUGAAUGAUUGCUGUAUCUCCAGCACUGGGCACAGUAUUUAGCAACAUGGAAAGCACUCAAUAAAUGAUUGCCACAUAAAUAAAUAAAUAAAAGAAUUGUGCAAAUCACAGUGUCAGCAGGUAUUUCUAUCUUCAAUACUCUUGCAUGUCAGAGAUAGGCAGUAUUGAGGUCUUUUUGGUGGCUUACUGUUAUUAUUUGAAAAUUUCAGUGUUGAGGCCGGGCGCGGUGGCUCAAGCCUGUAAUCCCAGCACUUUGGGAGGCCGAGACGGGCGGAUCACGAGGUCAGGAGAUCGAGACCAUCCUGGCUAACACGGUGAAACCCCGUCUCUACUAAAAAUACAAAAAAAAAUUAGCCGGGCGAGGUGGCGGACGCCUGUAGUCCCAGCUACUCGGGAGGCUGAGGCAGGAGAAUGUCGUAAACCCGGGAGGUGGAGCUUGCAGUGAGCUGAGAUCCGGCCACUGCACUCCAGCCUGGGCGACAGACAGCGACUCCGUCUCAAAAAAAAAAAAAAAAAAAAAAAAAAAAAAGCACAAUAAAAUACAGUAGCAAAGCUUUAAAACAAUGGUAAGUGUAUGGGGCACUUACCAUGACUGGAGCCUGCAGGACUGGAGGUUGCUCUGGGUCUGUGACUGAGUGAGUGGUGGGUGAAUGUGAAGGCCUGGGCAUGACUGUGCACUAUCGUAAGCUUUAGAAACACUGCACACUUAGGCUACGCUGAGGUUAUAAAGUAUCUUUUUCUUUCUUCAAUAAUAAGUUAACCUUAGCUUACUGUAACUUUUUUGCUUUAUAAACUUUUUAGUUUGGACUCAUUUGUAAUAACACUUAGCUUAAAACACAAAUACAUUGUAUAACUGUACAAAAAUAUUUUUCCUUAUAUUCUUAUCCUACAAGCUUUUUUUCUAUUUUUAAAUGUACUUAUUUAUUUACUUCCUUUUUAUAUCACUGCCUUCCACUCCCACAUCUCAUCCCAUUGGAAGGUCUUCAGGGGCUAGAACGCCCAUGGAGCUGUCAUCUCCUGUGGUAACAGUGCCUUCUUCUAGAACGCCUCCUAGAGGACCUGCCUGAGGGUGUUUACAGGUAACUUUUUAAACCAUAAGUAGAGCACACUCAUUAAUAACAAUCAAAAGGAUAGUAUAGAAAAUGCAUAAACUAAUAACGUAGUCUUGAUUAUCAUCAUCAUGUAUUGUGUACUGUACAUAAUUGUAUGCACUAUACUUUUACAUGACCAGCAGCGCAGUAGGUUUGUUUACAGGAACAUCACCACAAACGUGUGAGUAAUGCCUUGUGCUACAGCGGUACGACAGUUAUGAUAUCACUAGUUGAUAGGAAUUUUUCAGCUCCAUUAUAAUAUUAUAAGACCAUCAUCAUAUAUGCAGUCCGUCAUUGACCAAAACAUCAUUAUUAUCUCUAUUAUCC
rnacentral:lncRNA from 1 species